CCCUUAGAUGUCCUGGGCCGCACGCGCGCUACACUGAUGCAUUCAACGAGUUUUACCUUGGCCGAGAGGCCUGGGCAAUCUUUUAAACCUUCAUCGUGAUAGGGAUAGAUUAUUGCAAUUAUUAAUCUUGAACGAGGAAUUCCUAGUAAACGCAAAUCAUCAAUUUGCAUUGAUUACGUCCCUGCCCUUUGUACACACCGCCCGUCGCACCUACCGAUUGAAUGGUCCGGUGAAGCCUCGGGAUUGUGGCCAGUUCACUUUAUUGGGAGUUGGCUGUGAGAACUUGUCUAAACCUUAUCAUUUAGAGGAAGGUGAAGGCGUAACA
rnacentral:rRNA from 1 species